rnacentral:lncRNA from 1 species
CUACGGCUCCGGCUUUACUUGCGAUCUCUCACUUGACUUUUCUCACGGUUUGAUGCAGAUGAUGGCGGUGGUGUUGAUACGGCACUAACGAAGUGAUUCUCCGGUAACCACGUCUUCUCUUGAGUGCAUCUCUUUAUGAUGGAGAUUAGAUGAGAAGAGAAGAAACAACUUGGAAUGGAGAUUAGGUGGUGAUUGUUUGAUCCAAAAAUGGUUUUUAUGCUGAAAUGUUUGUUGAAUCAAUACAAUAAAAGAAUCUAAAAAUAAAAGAUUAGAUUGUUGCGG